rnacentral:rRNA from 1 species
CUUUACUGUAGCUUGGCAUUGAAUCUCGGGCUCGUAUGUGUAGGAUAGGUGGGAGACUUUGAAGCAGGAGCGCUAGCUCCUGUGGAGUCGUCCUUGAAAUACCACCCUUACGUGCUUGGGCUUCUAACCUCAUUCCAUUAUCUGGAGUAGGGACAGUGUCUGGUGGGCAGUUUCACUGGGGCGGUGGCCUCCCAAAUUGUAACGGAGGCGUACAAAGGUUCCCUCAGACUGAUUGGAAACCAGUCGUAGAGCGCAAAGGCACAAGGGAGCUUAACUGCGAGAGAGACAUCUCAAGCAGGUGCGAAAGCAGGUCUUAGUGAUCCGGUGGUACCAAAUGGACGGACCAUCGCUCAACGGAUAAAAGGUA